GAGACUUUGUACUGCGUCGACCGCGUCAGACGCCAUUAUGAGCUGGGGCAACUAGAAUGCAAUUGCCCGCAAGCUUGUGUGGAAACGUUAUUCUUGAAAUCAACUUCCAUCGCUGCGUGGGCAAAAGAUGUGGGUGGAAGCUCCAAUGCGAACAGACAACGGACGAGAACACGAAGUUC